AAUUGAUCUACACUCGGGCUGAUGGAAGGAUAUGCUUGUUCAUAUUAGUUGUAAAGCUGGAGUGACUUACCGGUGGCGAGUAGCUGGAAUGCAGUGACCAAGUAGCUAAAGAGAAUCAAAGCCCUGUGGAGGGUCUCGUCAAUAAUCCAUAUGCCUCCCAGCAAGUUGUGGCGCUUUUUUUCCCUGUUGUGGAACUUAAAGCAUAUGCGGACCAGUGACAACCUUGAUGAUAAAAAAGUAUGUACCACUUGAAGCAUAUGUUCCUCCCAGCAAAAGAAUUUGCAAAGUGUCACCACAGAAGCAAGUCUGCCAAAAAAAAAAGGUGAUUUCGUUGAGAAAUGCGGGCCUAGAUAUUGGAGCAGUACAUCCUGUUGAGAUGAUCUUGCAAUAUCAUUUUCUCACAACUGAAGAAGUUGAGUGCAUCAAAGUCUUCAAUUUAUUGACCAAAGUGGUGAUUAAGAAUUGAUGGCCGUUCUUCUGUAUAGUAAUGAGACGCAUUGUUGACCUCCUGUUAUUUUUUUUGUCAUUGUAACGGAAGCUCAGGCUGUUCUUUACAGUAAUAUAUAUCAUUCGUGCUCAAUCCAGUUUCUUAUUUCAGACAUUUUUUUAGUGCUUAUUUCGAAGCAUGGACAUGUAUAUGUUCAGGGGAUAUUGGAUACUAACUGAAAUUUUUUCCUUAUUUCAUUUCAUCUAAAUUAGUUAGUACAUAUUGGAGACUUAAUUAUUGUUGUUGAUCUAAGUAAUCAGCAGAAAAAAUCUUUCAUGGGGAAUUGUAUGUUUCAUACACAGUAAAACACAAUGAAUAAAUAGCAGGAUCCUGCUACGUUAUGGAAAGACAAGAUGAGUUGACAUAAGGAACUU